UCGUUGUCACACCUGUGUUUUGAUUACUCUCAGUGUCUUUGUGCCUUCCUCUCUUUGUGAUUUUGAUGCGUCAUUCCUCCAGGGCUUCCCCUCUCCUGUGGCUUCUUCUUGUUUGGAUGUUUUUGAGGUAGAGGAUCCGGGGCGAUCACUAACAUGGACAGCUUGCUGAACACCAGUCCAAAAACAGCCAUGGCCACACCUUUGUGCUGAGUCUGGUCCAGGAAGUUGGCUGGACUGUGAGUUCAUACAAGAACAUUUAAAUUACAAGACAAACCUGUAGUCUACAAUAACAUCCAUCCACAGAAGUCAAAGCUUCACCUGAAGAUACUGGAGGACCCUCGGGUGAAUCCUUGGCAGAAUUUGUUUUUCCUGGCCAGCACUGCCAGGAUCAACAUGGCCACCAGCUGCAGAGAGAGAUGGAAAUAUGACUAUAAUAACUUUUUUAAUCAGUUUCUGUGCCAUGGCCUAACUACUGUUUGUCCAGUUCACACUUUCAGGUAUGAGGACGUGUUGGCUGCUUUCAAGAGGAGCCCUCAUUUAUUUGUGAAUACUAUUCUGUAAAAUUCACCAUCUGGUUCUUGUAUUGGAUCAUACAACAGUCAUAUGUACAAGGCACCUUUUAAAAGGACAGUCUGCAAAGUGCUUUGACAGACACAGCAACAGAAAACACAAAGACAAGCCAAGAAAGAAAACUUCAAAGUCCAGUUAAGAGAAAGUUAAAGCAAGAAGGCACAAGAUGCAAAACACAACACACCAGAGCAGACAGUAAAGCUCAAAACUUUUUUACAGAUGAUACAAAUGGAAGACCGGAUGGAGGAAUGUAUGAGAGAAAGAGAACAAGAACAUUCUUCAGACUACAGUCUUGUUAUUUUUAAUCAGCUGCAGUGACCCAGCUGUCGUAGCCCAUUACUCAUUAUAAAGUGGUAUUUACUAAGAAUUGGGCGAGGGCAAAGUGAUGUCAAACCUCAUUAAACUGAAAGUCUCCCUGAAGCAGAGUUUACCUUCAGACCCUUAGCUAAGAUGAGGAAGAACUUUACAUUAAACUGCUUUUUCAAAGUA